GACAGUGUCUACCCUACCCGGCGUGCUCUCCUCUACGUGCUGGUGCUCGCUGCUACUCGAUCCGACGAACACAGGAAGAAGAAGGGAGGGGUAGACGGGGUAGACUUAGGGUUUGCCCGGCGCUCGAACGCCUCCCUGUAUUUCCUCGAGCUCGAACUCGAUGUCCCGUGCCAUUACAACGUCGCCGUGAGGCUUUAUACCCAGGGCCAGUGACCGGGCACGAACCCUCACUCCCUGCCCACUCGCGCCCAUGAUCCGCUCGCCGCGCUCUCCGCCACGACGCGCUCCCGCGCGCAGCUCGCGCCCAGCUCCAACGGUCAUGCACCAGAUCGCCGCACAGCUCGCCAACGGCCUCCUCCUGCACCCCUGCGUAUGGUGCGCGCACCCGUGCACCCCGUGCACCACACACACCUACACACGCACGCCUACACCGUGUACCCGGUGCGUCUGGUGCGUGCCCAUACACGCUCCGGCCGCGCCGAGUUCAUCGCCACGGUCUUAUUUCCUAACAAUCACCCCCGAGACCGUGGCCUAGAGAAGCCCGGCUUCCUCGACGUCGAUCUUCCCCAUCAGUGCUCGCUCCGGCGCCGCCGCUUUCUUCCGCUGCGGGCACUCCCGCUUGAAAUGGCCGCGCUCGUUGCAGUAGUAGCAGCGCCCGCGCCGCUUGUUCCUGCCGCCCGACGCCGUGCUCGUCGCGCCGUCGUCGUUGUAGCCGCCUCCUCCGUGACGUCGCUGCCUCGCCUGCCACUGCGCCUCCGUCAGCAUGAGCUGUUCGCCCGCGCGCUCGCCGCCGCUCCUAGCACGUCGACGCGUCCUCUCCUCAAACGCCUUCAGACGCCCGACAGCCUCCUCGAAGGGCAUGUCAUCGACGUCACAAAACUGCUCGAUGCCGGCCACCGCGGCGUACAGCCUGUCCGGCACGGUGUCGAGCAGCUUUUUGACCAUCGCCGCGUCGUCAAGCGACGAGCCGAGUCCGGCGUACUUCGUCGCCAUGCUGCUCACCUUCCCGGCGUACUCGUCAAGGUCGUCGGCGUCGUCCAUCUGCAUGCGGUCGAACUCGCCCCGGAGCGUCGCCAACCGCGCCGUCCGCACUCGGCUUGCCCCGACGAAUCGGAAUUUGAGGGAGUCCCACACCUCCUUCGCCGUCGUCUUCGUCGCGACCUGCAUCAGAAGAUCCUCCGGCAACGCCGCAAGCAUCGCCGCGCGCGCCAGCUUGCUCUUGUUGGCGUUGACCUCCUCGCCGUCCGCCGGAGCCACCGCACUCCACAGCGCGUGGGCGUCGAGUAUGGCCUCGGCCUUGAUGGCUCACGACGUGUAGCUCGUCGUCGUCAAUGGUGGCAGGUGCACCGUCACCACUCCAGCCACUGCCGCUGCCACUCCAGCCCCGCCUCCGCCGUGCGGCACCACCGACUUCAUGGCCGCCGCCGAUCACCACCGAAACCGUGGCUCUGGUACCAAAUGACAGUGUCUACCCUACCCGGCGUGCUCUCCUCUACGUGCUGGUGCUCGCUGCUACUCGAUCCGACGAACACAGGAAGAAGAAGGGAGGGGUAGACGGGGUAGACUUAGGGUUUGCCCGGCGCUCGAACGCCUCCCUGUAUUUCCUCGAGCUCGAACUCGAUGUCCCGUGCCAUUACAACGUCGCCGUGAGGCUUUAUACCCAGGGCCAGUGACCGGGCACGAACCCUCACUCCCUGCCCACUCACGCCCAUGAUCCGCUCGCCGCGCUCUCCUCCACGACGCGCUCCCGGCGCAGCUCGCGCCCAGCUCCAACGGUCAUGCACCAGAUCGCCGCACAGCUCGCCAACGGCCUCCUCCUGCACCCCUGCGUAUGAUGCGCGCGCACCCGUGCACCCCGUGCACCACACACACCUACACACGCACGCCUACACCGUGUACCCGGUGCACCCGACGCGUCUGGUGCGUGCCCAUACACGCUCCGGCCGCGCCGAGUUCAUCGCCACGGUCUUAUUUCCUAACA
rnacentral:lncRNA from 1 species